UAUGGCAGAAUAGUGCAAUGGAUUUAAGCCCCAUAUAUAAAACUAAUAUUUUUAUUAAAA
rnacentral:tRNA from 1 species